CCCUUAGAUGAUUUGGGCUGCACGCGCGCUACACUGACCCUAACAAUGAGCAACUGUCUGGCCUGAGAUGGCUGGGUAGCCUUUUCAACCCAUGUCAUGAUUGGGCUAGAUUUUUGUAAGUCUUGAUCUCUAACGAGGAAUCCCUAGUAUGCGUGAAUCAUCAAUCCAUGCAGAUUAUGUCCCUGCCCUUUGUACACACCGCCCGUCGCUCCUACUGAUUGGGUGAUCGGUGAGCUGUUCGGCCAUAGCAAUGUUUCUUGAGCAGGGCAAUGAAUGUUUCGCAAACCUUGCCACUUAGAGGAAGGAGAAGUCGUAACA
rnacentral:rRNA from 1 species